GCGGCCUAUCAGCUUGUUGGUGACCUAAUGGCUCACCAAGGCGACGACGGGUAGCCGGCCUGAGAGGGCGACCGGCCACACUGGGACUGAGACACGGCCCAGACUCCUACGGGAGGCAGCAGUGGGGAAUAUUGGGCAAUGGGCGGAAGCCUGACCCAGCGACGCCGCGUGCGGGAUGAAGGCCUUCGGGUUGUAAACCGCUUUCAGCAGGGAAGAAGCGAAAGUGACGGUACCUGCAGAAGAAGCACCGGCUAACUNUGUGCCAGCAGCCGCGGUAAUACAUAGGGUGCAAGCGUUGUCCGGAAUUAUUGGGCGUAAAGAGCUCGUAGGUGGUUCGUUACGUCCGAUGUGAAAA
rnacentral:rRNA from 1 species